rnacentral:tRNA from 1 species
AAGGGCUUAGCUCAGUGGUUAGAGCGCUCGUAUUUCCCAAAUUGGAUAACGUAAAUACGGAUGGCUGUCGUCGGUUCAAAUCCGGCACCCUUUU